AGCUCUGAUAGCGUAUGCUAAAGUUGUUGUGGUUAAAAGGCUCGUAGUCUAAAUCGCUUGGGGAAUAGCUGCUGAUAAGUGGCCUUUCUUCGCUUUGUACUGAUUCUUGAUCAUCCUUAAAUGGACAUCUUGGGUCUUACUUAGCCACCUUGAGAAAAACAACACGUCCAAGGUAGAGCGACUGCAUCCAUGAGACAGCAUGGUAUGGCAGAAUAUGGACCCUUCCUCAAACAAGUAGGGGUUGGGCCAAUGAUUAAGAGGGCGGGUCGGGGGUGUUCAUAUUCUCGGGGGAGAGGUGAAAUUCUAUGAUCCUGAGAAGAUGUCCUACUGCGAAAGCAUUCACCAAGUACCGCUCCA
rnacentral:rRNA from 1 species